rnacentral:rRNA from 1 species
UACGUAAGGUGCGAGCGUUGUCCGGAAUUAUUGGGCGUAAAGGGCUCGUAGGCGGUUUGUCGCGUCGGGAGUGAAAACCUUGGGCUUAACUCAGGGCUUGCUUUCGAUACGGGCAGACUAGAGGUAUGCAGGGGGAGAACGGAAUUCCUGGUGUAGCGGUGAAAUGCGCAGAUAUCAGGAGGAACACCCGGUGGCGAAGGCGGUCUC